UGGGAGAUGGUUUGUAAGUAAUUCAGUAA
rnacentral:piRNA from 1 species